CGAGGAGAUGCAUCCAAAUCAGAGGCAGCGUGUGAGGGUGCAUGUUGUGGUUCUGCUCCUGACACAGCUCUUUUGCCAUGCAGGAAGCCUCUGAGGAAGUUGCCCUGCAGCUAACUGAAAAACAUGGCUUCAAUGUGAGAAGUAACUGAAGCACACAUUGGCAGUGGGUGGCAGAAGGGCCCAAGGUUUCAAAAGCAAACUGCAUGGGACCGCUGAAGAAACAGUCCAUUGAAAACCCACCUCAUGUAAGUUUUAGGCAAAGGUGGUCUCCAGCCCUUUCAAGCAGAAUUUCAAGUUGCUGAGCUCAUCCUCCAGCACCACUUGGUACUACUCAGGGUAGCACUUCCAUUGCCAGGAUCCAGCUCAGUAGAACAGUCCAUCUUUGCUCUCAUCAUUUGGCCCAAGCACACCUCAGCACCCAGCAAGUUCCCUCAUUCCUACUGAAGAGAUGGGAAUCCAGUGUUCAUCCUGAGUACCCUGCUACACCUUCUGCUUCCGUUUCCAUUUGCAAGAAGUGUUUGCUGCUUCUGUGGAAUUUAUUAAAGAUUUCUUUAAUAAAACUACUGUUG
rnacentral:lncRNA from 1 species